rnacentral:rRNA from 1 species
UACGGGGGGGCAAGCGUUGUUCGGAAUUACUGGGCGUAAAGGGCUCGAUAGGCGGCCAACUAAGUCGGAUGUGAAAUCCCCAGGCUUAACCUGGGAAACUGCAUCCGAUACUGGAUGGCUUGAAUCCGGGAGAGGGAUGCAGGAAUUCCGAGGUGUGGAGCGGUGAAAUGACGCAGAUAUCAGGAGGAACACCGGUGGCGAAGGCGGGGAUCGCCUGGGCCGGGAACUGACGCCU